rnacentral:ncRNA from 19 species
AUCGCCCCACGCGGUGUCGGCAUCGAGCGAGGCAUCAACGAUGCGUCGUAAGAGGGAAUCCGGUGAGAAUCCGGAACUGUCCCGCAGCGGUAUGCAGGAACGACCGCCGUCAUGAACGAAACAAGCACUGGUCCUUCACGACUGGGAAGCGACGGCCACUAGAAGCACCACCGGGUGCGCGCCUGCGAGUCCGAAGACCUGCCAGUUGUGCCGGGCGCGCC